UUAAUGACCGAAAUUUUAGUAGGACUAGAAUAGCAUGCAACACACCAUAGGAGAAUAUUUAAAAAUAAAUAACUAAACACACACAAAUUAAGAUAUGAUCCAAAGAAGCAUUAAUAAGAAACAUUCACCAAUAUGAUAACCUAAUUUACCUUUGUACCCCAUUGCCACAAUUGUUGGUUUUCUUCAUGAUCAGAGUUAGGCAAAAUUAGGCUUUCAGUGUAGGUAAUUGCUCUAUAAUUAGAAUAGGCAUCAGGGGUAGAAAUUUCCAGGAAUGUAAAUACUGCAGCCGUAUUUCUAUUUUCCUUUCUUCAUCAUUCUGCUAUCUUAUUAGCUGUUUCCUAUCCUGUCUUAAUUUAAAUUAUUAUGUUUCCUAGUUCAAAAUUUUUGGGUAUCAGACAAAUUCUUGUGGUGUCAACCUUGUAUUCAGCCUCUUAUUUACAAAGCACUGAAAUCUUAUGCAGUUCUGUUAUGACCUUCUUAUGGUUUUCUGCAAACUCCAGCCACUAAUUUACAUUUUCUAAGGUAUGGUGCAAGCAUCUUUCAUUCUCAUCAUGCAUUAGUUUGUGUCAAAGCCAGGUUCACAUCAAGCUGGCAUGUGAGGCAGAAAAUGUUGGAGAUAAAUGGAACAAAACUCAUAGAUUACUAAAAGUAUUGAAUAACUCAGAAAACAAGAAAGGCGAUCGAUAAAAUUCAGGUAACAAUCAAACAAAAGCAUUUCGAGACCAAAGUGACAUGGUCAUUAUUUAGUGACAAGUAACUGGCAAAUUGGAUCCACCUAUCUACAAUGUCUAUGCAGACAACAAAUGAGUUUUUUUCAAGCUCAGAUUGGUUCGUUAUUAUAUAUUUGUUGAAGAAAAUAAAUAUAUAGACAAUAACCAGCUACGGGCGUUCACUGUGCUAAGAAAUUGAAAACUGGAUCUCUGUGUAUAUCCUCUUUAGCUACACAAAGUCGUUGGAGAGUAAAACAAAGAGAAUGCUUUGAUGGUCUAAGAUAUAGCAAUGCGGUCUCUAUAAUCUAACCUUCCAAGUAAAACAAGACAAGAAAAAAAGGGUCGAUUGAAUGGGUAACAUAGAUCCAUCACAGAGAAAACUCUGAUUAAAUGGGUUCAGAAAAGGUUAUGCGUGAAAUUUGUCUUUUUAUUGAGAAAUAAUUCGUGACAAAAAUGUAAAUAUGACCCUUACAUUCUAUAAAGCAAUACAAUACAGAAUACAGAUCUGGAGGAGCAAAUAAAAUGUAGUUUAGUUACAUUUUUGGUGCAUUGACUGAGACAUAUAAUGCCAAAAGCUUGAUUCUUAAUUCAAUUAAAUACAUCAAUUAACAUUUCUUUGUUUAGCAUUUACAUUAUGAGCUAGAAGGUCCUCUGAGCAGGAGAAGGUUUAGAAAACAAUGCAGAGAUUUUUGUUGAGUUUGCAAAUAUUUUUAAUGACCGAAAUUUUAGUAGGACUAGAAUAGCAUGCAACACACCAUAGGAGAAUACAUAAAAAUAAAUAAAUAAAUAAACACACACAAAUUAAGAUAUGAUCUAAAGAAACAUUUAAUAAGAAACAUUCACCAACAUGAUAACCUAAUUUACCUUUGUACCCCAUUGCCACAAUUGUUGGUUUUCUUCAUGAUCAGAGUUAGGCAAAAUUAGGCUUUCAGUGUAGGUAAUUGCUCUAUAAUUAGAAUAGGCAUCAGGGGUAGAAAUUUCCAGGAAUGUAAAUGCAUUAUUAUCGGCCAAAUUGUAUAACUUAAAAGUUG
rnacentral:lncRNA from 1 species